GAUGAACGCUGGCGGCGUGCUUAACACAUGCAAGUCGAACGAUGAUGCUGGAGCUUGCUCCAGUUGAUUAGUGGCGAACGGGUGAGUAACACGUGAGCAAUCUGCCCUUGACUCUGGGAUAACUGCGGGAAACUGUAGCUAAUACCGGAUACUUUCACCGGAAGGCAUCUUCUGGUGAUGAAAGAAUUUCGGUCAGGGAUGAGCUCGCGGCCUAUCAGCUUGUUGGUGAGGUAAUGGCUCACCAAGGCGACGACGGGUAACCGGCCUGAGAGGGUGACCGGUCACACUGAGGAUGAGACACGGCCCAGAAUCCUACGGGAGGAAGCAGUGGGGAAUAUUGCACAAUGGGCGCAAGCCUGAUGCAGCAACGCCGCGUGAGGGAUGACGGCCUUCGGGUUGUAAACCUCUUUUAGUAGGGAAGAAGCGAAAGUGACGGUACCUGCAGAAAAAGCACCGGCUAACCACGUGCCAGCAGCCGCCGUAA
rnacentral:rRNA from 1 species